rnacentral:rRNA from 1 species
CCUACGGGAGGCUGCAGUGAGGAAUAUUGGUCAAUGGGCGAGAGCCUGAACCAGCCAAGUCGCGUGAAGGAUGAAGGAUCUAUGGUUUGUAAACUUCUUUUAUAUGGGAAUAAAGUGAGGAACGUGUUCCUUUUUGUAUGUACCAUAUGAAUAAGCAUCGGCUAACUCCGUGCCAGCAGCCGCGGUAAUACGGAGGAUGAGAGCGUUAUCCGGAUUUAUUGGGUUUAAAGGGUGCGUAGGUGGUUCAUUAAGUCAGCGGUGAAAGUUUGUGGCUUAACCAGAGAAUUGCCGUUGAAACUGGUUGACUUGAGUAUAUUUGAGGUAGGCGGAAUGCGUGGUGUAGCGGUGAAAUGCAUAGAUAUCACGAAGAACUCCGGUGGCGAAGGCAGCUUACUGGACUAUAACUGACGCUGAGGUACGAAAGCGUGGGGAUCAAACAGGAUUAGAUACCCGAGUAGUC